rnacentral:rRNA from 1 species
UACGUAGGGUGCAAGCGUUAAUCGGAAUUACUGGGCGUCAAGCGUGCGCAGGCGGUUAUGCAAGACAGAUGUGAAAUCCCCGGGCUCAACCUGGGAACUGCAUUUGUGACUGCAUGGCUAGAGUACGGUAGAGGGGGAUGGAAUUCCGCGUGUAGCAGUGAAAUGCGUAGAUAUGCGGAGGAACACCGAUGGCGAAGGCAAUCCCCUGGGCCUGCACUGACGCUCAUGCACGAAAGCGUGGGGAGCAAACAGG